CUUCUUAUCUGCACAUUGAACCACAUCAAAAUUGAGAGCACUAUUGUUGCUUUCUGUCUUUUUUUUUUUCGAGCUCUGGACUACCAGACGGUGCUGACGGAGACCCCUCCCUACAUAUCCCAUAAGCGGGGAUUAUACCGCUGUACGCAAUCCACACCAGAGCUGGCCAUAGCUCUCCUGUAUGUGAGUUCUUUACUUUUUGUUACCUAUCACACCCUGAACUUUCAUACUAUACCAUUAGUCGCCUCUACCUCUCUUGUAUUUACAUAUACGGAACGGUCUACACCAGACGCAUCCACAGAGGAACUCUAUCAAGUAUCCUAGGCCAUCUAUUGGCACCCUAGCAAUACUUUACUGGACUAUCU